rnacentral:lncRNA from 1 species
UUUCAAUUUGUAUUGUAUAUUUCAAUUUCGAGAGUAAUAUGCUAUCGGUAAGUAUAUUUUUCCUUCCAUAUUUACAUACUUCCAAAAACACCUUUUCCCUAAUUUUUUUUGUUUAUUUUUCAUCCCUUAUCUUCAAAUUCCUUUCAAUUUCUUCCUUUGUUUUCUUCACCAAAUUUCUCUAAAUCUCUUCAAUGGUGGGUCUUGAUAUAAAAA